GGGGUGGGACGCUGCUUGAUAAUGCAGUCGAACGAUGACAUUACUGUAGACUUGCACAUGUAGAUGAUUCAGUGGCGAACGGGUGAGUAACACGUGAGUAACCUGCCCUUGACUUCGGGAUAAGCCUGGGAAACCGGGUCUAAUACCGGAUACGACCUCCUGGCGCAUGCCAUGGUGGUGGAAAGCUUUAUCGGUUUUGGAUGGACUCGCGGCCUAUCAGCUUGUUGGUUGGGGUAAUGGCCCACCAAGGCGACAACGGGUAGCCGGCCUGAAAGGGUGACCGGCCACACUGGGACUGAAACACGGCCCAAACUCCUACGGGAGGCAGCAGUGGGGAAUAUUGCACAAUGGGCGAAAGCCUGAUGCAGCGACGCCGCGUGAGGGAUGACGGCCUUCGGGUUGUAAACCUCUUUCAGCAGGGAAAAAGCGAAAGUGACGGUACCUGCAAAAGAAGCGCCGGCUAACUACGUGCCAGCAGCCGCGGUAAUACGUAGGGCGCAAGCGUUAUCCGGAAUUAUUGGGCGUAAAGAGCUCGUAGGCGGUUUGUCGCGUCUGCUGUGAAAGCCCGGGGCUCAACCCCGGGUCUGCAGUGGGUACGGGCAGACUAGAGUGCAGUAGGGGAGACUGGAAUUCCUGGUGUAGCGGUGAAAUGCGCAGAUAUCAGGAGGAACACCGAUGGCGAAGGCAGGUCUCUGGGCUGUAACUGACGCUGAGGAGCGAAAGCAUGGGGAGCGAACAGGAUUAGAUACCCUGGUAGUCCAUGCCGUAAACGUUGGGCACUAGGUGUGGGGGACAUUCCACGUUUUCCGCGCCGUAGCUAACGCAUUAAGUGCCCCGCCUGGGGAGUACGGCCGCAAGGCUAAAACUCAAAGGAAUUGACGGGGGCCCGCACAAGCGGCGGAGCAUGCGGAUUAAUUCGAUGCAACGCGAAGAACCUUACCAAGGCUUGACAUGAACCGGUAAGACCUGGAAACAGGUCCCUCACUUGUGGCCGGUUUACAGGUGGUGCAUGGUUGUCGUCAGCUCGUGUCGUGAGAUGUUGGGUUAAGUCCCGCAACGAGCGCAACCCUCGUUCUAUGUUGCCAGCGGGUUAUGCCGGGAACUCAUAGGAGACUGCCGGGGUCAACUCGGAGGAA
rnacentral:rRNA from 1 species